rnacentral:rRNA from 1 species
GACGAACGCUGGCGGCGUGCUUAACACAUGCAAGUCGAACGGAAAGGCCCUGCUUUUGUGGGGUGCUCGAGUGGCGAACGGGUGAGUAACACGUGAGUAACCUGCCCUUGACUUUGGGAUAACUUCAGGAAACUGGGGCUAAUACCGGAUAGGAGCUCCUGCUGCAUGGUGGGGGUUGGAAAGUUUCGGCGGUUGGGGAUGGACUCGCGGCUUAUCAGCUUGUUGGUGGGGUAGUGGCUUACCAAGGCUUUGACGGGUAGCCGGCCUGAGAGGGUGACCGGCCACAUGGGGACUGAGAUACGGCCCAGACUCCUACGGGAGGCAGCAGUGGGGAAUAUUACACAAUGGGCGGAAGCCUGAUGCAGCAACGCCGCGUGCGGGAUGACGGCCUGCGGGUUGUAAACCGCUGUCGCCUGUGACGAAGCGUGAGUGACGGUAACGGGUAAAGAAGCACCGGCUAACUACGUG